CCCCAGGUUUAGGGUGCUCUGAACCCCCUCUGGUCGUGGUCUGCUGAGAGGAAGACGGUUCCUCAGUGCUGUGUGAGAAAUGAAGAGGGACUCGUAUCCCUCUGCUGUAACAGUGUGAGGAAGUUGCCUUACCUUUUUGAGGCAGAGGCUUAGGACCGGGUGCUCAGCUCUCAUUGAGUCGCUUUGAUGAGCCAUACAUGAGAUCAGCGGUAAUUCUGCCGUUGUCUCGAGUGAAGCUAAGAUCUCACUGCACGUGCACAAAGCAAAUGGAAAGACACAUUAUGCCAGUAACUAGGGACUUCCCUCCCUCGGCAGGGCAGGGCAGGGCUGGCUGCCAGCCCCUUCUCCGUCAGCCCCGCUAAGGGGCAGCCUGCUCUGCCUGGUACCUCACGCCCAGGGAGUCCCCGCUCGGGGCCGUGAGGGCCUUUUGCCAUGUGGAGCUUGUUCUUUGCUCUCCCAGCUACCAUCCCGUUGUUCCUGAGUGACCUGGUCCAAAACCCCACGUGUUGUUUUCUUUUCGGAGGGCCCACCUGGAAAACAGGAUCUGGCAAAAAGGUCUGCAGAAGAAUAACUAUGAAUUAUUAAAAUCAGGCUAAUAGGAAAGGUUGGGCCCUCAUGGAAAUGGUAGCUUGUAUUGUAAGUAGAGAAAAAGAAAACAGGUAUUAAGUGCUUUUUCCAAAUGUGAUUUUCCCUCAUCCCCCUCUCCCGCAGCCCGUUGUUCUGAGAAGGCCAGGCUGUUUGCAGUGUAAGUGGUGCUGAGUUUUUAAUGCUGCCACUACUAUACCAACGCUGUUUAUACACAAUUCAGAAAGGAGAAUGUGUUUGUGCUGUAGACCUGCUAAUUACAUAAUUUUCUCUUUUUAUUAAGCAAUGUGUUCAUGCUGUGUAAUUCAGACUAACUAGAGUGCAGAGGAAAGAUUUAUAUUAUGUUGAAGAGGUAUGAGCAUUUGACCUUGUAAGUGAAUUCCUAGAGAAGGCUAAGCGCAAUGCCGUAAGUGACAGGCUCCAAUUAGGAUGCUGAGAGACACGUGUGUAGUUCUGGUAUCCUCCUGUGAACACUGUCCAGGCAUUUCCAAGAUGCCUGGGCAACAGUGUUUUGCAGCAAUGAAAGGAGUUGCUAAAUCUAUUCAAGAAAUUACUAGUGAGGAGCUGAAAGAAAGAAAUAUGGGAAGGACCUAAAGGAGUGACAGUGUGGUAGAGACCAUGAUUCUGAGACAGCGGCUUAAAAAAGCUUGUCUUUUAUUUAGCGCUGUUGCUGACUCACAGGAAGAACGGAACAUGAGCCAGCAGGCUUUAGCAUUUUCUGCUUAAAGAGGAAGAAGAACCUACCUUACGUAAAUAAGAUGCAUCUGCAAAACAGAGGCGAAAACUUGCCUAUCUCAGUCUGUUUGUGAGGAGAGUCCCUCUUGGAGAGAGUCUUCUGGAGCACUGCAGUAGAUUACAGGAGGCUCUUGCAGGCCCAAGCAGCAGCCAGGACAUCUGCAGGGAGGCGUGACAGAGGCAGGCUGACGCUGCACUGUGGGCAGAGGAGAGCACCGGUGCAGUCCUGUCCUUCCCGCGACCUGCGGUGAGUUAGGCACCACUUUGCCGGGUGUGUUUGUCUGCACCUUGUUUUCAUCAACCAAAGUGACACUCAGCAAAAAUGCUAUAGAUGGGAGAGGGAAUACUUCUGCACAGUUGUGCUGAGUGGCUGAUAGAGAAGACAAAUUACAGCAGGGAUGUCUGCUUGUCCUGUCCAGCAGUGCCACCUAACUGUGCUGAGUGCACCCAGCCCAGGAGCCAGGAGGAAGGGGCUGGAAGCUGUGGCUGGCCCGUCUGGAGAGCGUAACACCCUAGAGACGAGCUGCCUGCUGAGCACUGACUCGCGAUUGUGUGCUGAAGGCAUGGUUGUGCAGCAUCUUUAGAGCUUUGCUGUGCUGUUCCUGUGUACCCACCACUACUGCUGCCUCUUCCGAGAGAACCUGUGUCUGCUGUGUCCUUCACAAACACCCUGAAAGCUGGGAUUCCCCAAACUUUGAUGCCUAUGACAUGCAACAUAUUUCAAAAUGAUGCGCACUCCCCACCCAUAUAACCACUCCUCAUUGCAGCCAUUGCCACUGCCAG